AAAGCUUUGUAUUUGUCUUUGACUGAACACAAUGAGAGAGAGAGAUUCCAGUGUGAUGAGCAAGCCAGGUAAAGGUCAGAACAGAACUAUGAAGGUAAAACAUGCCGAAAGGAGGAAAAAGCCGUCAGAGAGUGGAUCUGACCUGGAGGAUUACAGUGGAAUGGAUUGUUUGGUGACAUCAUUACCUGUAAAAGGUCAGCGUCUCUCCAUCACGCCUCAUCAUUCCUCACUUCCACUGAACGAGGGCGCCUCUCUAGGGGACGUCUCUAGGGGAGGAAUAUUUGAACAGAUGAAUUGAGGACCGUCUCUCUUGGGAGUCCUGGAUUUUCUGAGCGAGCAAUAGAGAAAGAAGAGCAAAAAGGGAAUUGAAGAGGGAGGAAGUGAGAGAUAAAGAAUGGAGAGGGGUAAUGACUUCACAGAGACCCAUCAUCACCACCCCUUAUUCCCUCUGAGGCUGAAUAGUGAACGAGGGCAACUCUCCAGGGGACGAAAAUUCGAACAGAUGUGUCGAGGUCUUUCUGAAAAGAGAGGAACUCGAGUGAUUCUGUUUGUUCUGGGCCUCUAGCUGCAGGUCCUGUUUGCUCAGUUCCUGAUUGCUAAGUGGACCAUAAAGUCUGAUUCGGUUCAUCAUUGAUUCAAAUGUUUUUAACCCUAAACAAGCUGUUUAAAUUUUUUUUAAUGAUGUUGAAAUCUCAGUUCUCUCUCUCGCUCUCUCUCUCUCUCUUCAUUCUCUCGCUCUCUCUUCAUUCUCUCCCUGGUUUUGAUUGAUUUAUUU
ensembl:lncRNA